AGAGUACUAUGUGUAUGUCUGUCAACUUGAAACACUGCACUCUCACAGUUUUACCUAAUUUGUUGUGUUGCGGACAGAAAAUUGAGCAAGUCUCCGUUUUCAAUAACAACAAAAAUGAAUGAAUUAAUGCAUAAACGUUGGAAAUAUACCUGGCAAACAUGCCAGACUAGCCAUUCUCUCAUUUCAAGUAAAUGCUCUACGUCUAGUCUUCUACAUGCAAAAGUUGAUGAUAUUUAUGCACACUUCAUAAAUUAACAGGAUGUUCAGAAUUCUUGGCCACAAUGAAGUUUGGGUCUUAGAUGGAGGUUUACCUCAGUGGCAAGCUUCUGGAUACAAUCUUGGAAGUAACUGCCCUGAAGAUGCAAUUCUGAAGUCUAAAGCUGCCAAUACUGCUGUUGAAACUACUUACAAUGGUGAAUUGGUGAGAUAGCUUUCAAGAUGGUCUGACUAUCUUACUCCCUUUUUUUUCUUAGUGAGUAAUCAUGGUUCCAUUCUUCUCAGGAAAGUGCUGCCACAUUUCAGACGGAAUUUCAACCUCAGCUACUCUGGACACUAGAAAAGGCUAGCUCUCCAUUAUAUCUGAACACUUAAAAUUUCUUCAUUUUACCUGAAAACUUUCUUGUGUUUAUAUAGAUACGGGUAAAUGAUAAAUCUGAUCAUGAAUUGCUCCUUCAGGGUUAAUUGGGAUUAUUCCUAUCUUAUUAUCUUUCUUUCGACCUUUUUGGAGAAAAUCCUAGCUUUAGUAAAAUAAAAAAUUCAAAGAUUUAUUGACAUAAACACUAAUAUCUUGAAGAUCCACAUUUGUGUUGAGCUGCUUUGUUCAUGUAACAGGUCAAACACAAUGUAGCUGCGCAGACUCACCAAGUAGUUGAUGCCCGAUCAAGGGGCAGGUAACAUCUCCUAAUUUUGACUCUUUGAAUAUUACUCUGGUUAGAAGAGACGAAUGUAGAAGCUCUGAUCAUAAUUAAAUGUAGCAUGAUUACUCUUCUUGCAACAAAUUAGUGGAUCACGAUUUCCUUCAAAAAGAAAAGGUUGGGCAAUAGUGUUUUUAUUUCAAACAUAUACGAUGAUUUAGCUCACUAUCUAGAUUAAUGGUUAUUGUUUUAAACAUGAAUCUGUAUUGUCUUGGUUUUUGCCUUUUCUCUAUCGCCUAUUUUUAAAACUUAAUGUAACUGAUACAUGCAUUGUGUGACAACUUGUGCCAUUUGUUAUUGUUGAUCUUCCCCUAAAGUUACCUUCUUAUUGUUGUGAUGGAAAGCACUGAAAUUUCAUAAUCAGAUUUGAUGGCAUAGAACCAGAACCAAGGAAAGGAGUAAGAAGUGGGCAUAUACCUGGAACUAAAAAUGUUCCAUUCCCUGAGGUGGGUAUUAGUGCAAACUGCAAAUAUGCAAUAUAGUGCAUGAUACUUGGACCGUUGGACGACAAUAAAUAGCUAAUGAUACAUUGUCGGUCUUGCAGAUGUUUGAUGGUGCACCAAAGCUUCUCCCUGCAGAUGAACUAUCUAAAAAGUUUGAGCAAGCAGGUCUGAAUUAUGUUUCAUCUCACUGUUCUAGUCUGAAAUUCCUAGCACACCCAUGUCCUUUUUUACCAUGGAACAACCGAAGUAAACGACUUUCCCAAUUUUAUACAAUACCGGAAGCUGAACAACAUUGAUUUAUACUUCAACCAUGUAGAUUUUCUGAUCAAAUAAUUAAAACUUAUUCAGGAAUAUCAUCCGUACAUCGUGUAUGAAAGUUUCACCACACAAUAGCAAUAAUAGCACCCAGUUUGAUGUUUCUUCAGGAAUUUCACUUGAUCACCCGAUUGUCGUCACAUGUGCAUCUGGCGUAACUGCCUGCAUAGUUGCUCUGGUCUGGAAACCUUUGCCCGCUCUUCUCUAAUGGUGCCAUUGACUCCACAAAUCAGGCUCUAACAAUAUCUGUUUACAGGGGCUCUAUAGAGUUGGGAAGCAUGAUAUUCCAGUUUACGAUGGAUCUUGGACAGAAUGGGAAGCACAGCCAGAUAUUGAUUACCCAAAAGUUACUUCCACUGGCUCUUGAAUCAAGAAUUCUGAAGCAGGUUCAGUUUAGAUUGUCGGCAUGAUGUCUCUGGCAAGCUUUGCACUUGAAUCAAGGCGAAGGUUAUAGGGGAAAGAAAUACCCACUGUACUAUGGCCAUGCAAAUGGGGCACUUUUGCCACACAAAAACGUUAGACCAUAUCUUCAGCAUCAAACUCAUGUCUGAAGCUGUACUUAAAGUUACUAAUGAAAAAUUCUUGGCUCGAAACAAGAUUGAUCGUUUUUUAUUUAUUUUUUUGCUUUGGAGUUGCACCUGUGUUGAUUAUCAUGCUUAAAUUCUUACAACUGCAGCUCAUUACUACUCUAAUUUACUACUCCAAUCCUUGCGCCCGAACCUCGAUUAAAAAAAAUUCCUUCCGCCAGAACGGCAAGUAUUUCCUUUUAUUUUUGUCGCCGCGCUGACACCCUUUGUUGGCUGCGGCUGCCUCACGGGUCCAAAUCGACUCAUCUUCUCCGGCAGCGGCGGCGGCCUUCCUCUCUGCCCUUCCGCUUCCCUCUUGGAGGCCCCCUGCCCGGCUCCCCACCGCACCCACCUGGAGGGCAGCACGGCGGGCCGAUGGCGCAGGACGAUCCAGUUGUUUCCGCUCAGUGGCUGCAGCAGCACCUAGGGCAGCCUGACAUCAAGGUGAAGAAUCUCUCAACUACUUCGCGUUUCCAUCUCCAGUUCCGAAAUGGAUUAUUCGCCUGCACCGUAGAAAGAUGAUACGGAAUACUAACCUGUUCUUAUCAUCCAGUCAAGUCAAGGGGUUGGCGUGUGGAUUUUUAUUUUACUGAUUAUUAUUAACAGAAAGAAGCAACUGGGAUAAUCGAUGUGAUUUUGCUCCAUUCAUGCCGUGUAUCUUCGCUGUGCACACAAGACUUCAGAGAUUGGAGAACGCUAUGUUUUGUUUCUUCUCUCUUAUGUUUGACUACUCCGUUUCAGGUACUGGACGCCUCCUGGUAUAUGCCACAAGAGAGCAGGGACCCAUGGCAAGAGUACAAGGUUUCUGGAUUAGUUCUACUCUGUUUUGUUUCCCCCUUUUUUUUCUGUGGCAAUGUCUUCCCCAGCUCAUGUAUUCUGAUAUGCUCAGGUGGCCCAUAUUCCUGGUGCAUUGUUCUUCGACAUCGAUGGCAUUGUUGAUCGGACGACUGACGUGAGAAAUGUUUCCAGAUAUUUAUUCCUUUCCUCUUUACGUGAUCGAUUGACAUGAGAAAAUAGGAAGCAAGGAUUUCUUGGUGCUUUUGGCGGUUGACAUAAUACAGAGCCUCCCUCUCUUCUGUCUUUUAAGGUAUUCCUGCCUAUGAAUAUAGAUAUAUGACUUGUUUUUAUUGGAUGCAAUUGUUUCAGUUGCCACACAUGCUGCCAUCAGAGGAGGCCUUUGCUGCAGCAGUUUCUGCACUUGGUAUCACAAACCAUGAUAAGGUCAUUGUUUAUGAUGGCAAGGGCUUCUUCAGCGCGCCUCGUGUUUGGUGGUAAGCAGAACGCUGGAUUCAGUUUAACAAAAUGAUGAGAUUGAAUGCUGCUAAUGCACAAAGAAAGCUAAGCUGUCAAAUUGUAAGGCGUUCAAAGUUCAUGGUAUUAUAUUUUUCUUAUUUUAUUUAGUGCAUGUGAAGGUACCUCUUUACUCUUUUGUAGCAUUUCACAUCUAUACAAGUUGAUAGAGUUAAUUACUUAUCAACCCAAUGUCUUAAUGAUUGUUCGUGGCUUACUUCAAGCACCAAAGAUUUGAUCUUGAGACAAAACGCACGAAUGGAUAAUGCGUGUCUGUGUCUCGAUUUAAAACACUACACUGUCAUGGUUUUAUCCAUUUAUUUGUGUUGCCAGACAGCAAGUUGAAUCGGUCACCAUUUCCAUAACAACAAAAAAUGAAUGAAUUAAUAACCCCAGACAUCACACUUUGGAAGUAUAUCUGGCAAACAUGCCAGACUAGUAAACUGCUCUACCUCUACAUGCAAAAGAUGGUGAUAUUUAUUCAUACUUCAUAAAUUAACAGGAUGUUCAGAGUACUUGGCCACAAUGAAGUUUGGGUCUUAGAUGGAGGUUUACCUCAGUGGCGAGCUUCUGGAUACAAUCUUGGAAGCAACUGCCCUGAUGAUACAAUUCUGAAGUCCAAAGCUGCC
rnacentral:lncRNA from 1 species